UAAGGAAUAUUGCUCAAUGGGAGAAAUCCUGAAGCAGCAACGCCGCGUGGAGGAUGAAGGGUCUAUGACUUGUAAACUCCUGUAAAGAAGGAAAAAAUUCCCAUUUGAUGGGAGGUGAUGGUACUUCUGGAGUAAGCCCCGGCUAACUACGUGCCAGCAGCCGCGGUAAUACGUAGGGGGCAAGCGUUGUCCGGAUUUACUGGGUGUAAAGGGUGCUCAGGCGGAUUUGUAAGUCAGAGGUGAAAUCUUACAGCUUAACUGUGAAACUGCCUUUGAUACUGCAAGCCUAGAGUAUGGAAGAGNGUGAUGGAAUAUCUGGUGUAGCAGUGAAAUGCGUAGAUAUCAGAUAGAACACCAAUGGCGAAGGCAGUCACUUGGUCCAUUACUGACGCUAAAGCACGAAAGCGUGGGUAGCAAACA
rnacentral:rRNA from 1 species